rnacentral:rRNA from 1 species
CCGGAUUUAUUGGGUUUAAAGGGUGCGUAGGUGGUUUGAUAAGUCAGCGGUGAAAGUUUGCAGCUUAACUGUAAAAAUGCCGUUGAAACUGUCGGACUUGAGUGUAAAUGAGGUAGGCGGAAUGCGUGGUGUAGCGGUGAAAUGCAUAGAUAUCACACAGAACUCCGAUUGCGAAGGCAGCUUACUAAGCUACAACUGACACUGAAGCACGAAAGCGUGGGGAUCAAACAGGAUUAGAUACCCUGGUAGUCCACGCAGUAAACGAUGAUUACUAGCUGUUUGCGAUACACAGUAAGCGGCACAGCGAAAGCGUUAAGUAAUCCACCUGGGGAGUACGCCGGCAACGGUGAAACUCAAAGGAAUUGACGGGGGCCCGCACAAGCGGAGGAACAUGUGGUUUAAUUCGAUGAUACGCGAGGAACCUUACCCGGGUUUGAACGUAGGGAGACAGGGGUGGAAACAUCCUUUUCAGCAAUGACUGCCUACGAGGUGCUGCAUGGUUGUCGUCAGCUCGUGCCGUGAGGUGUCGGCUUAAGUGCCAUAACGAGCGCAACCCUUAUUUCCAGUUACUAACAGGUAAUGCUGAGGACUCUGGAGAGACUGCCAGCGUAAGCUGUGAGGAAGGUGGGGAUGACGUCAAAUCAGCACGGCCCUUACAUCCGGGGCGGCACACGUGUUACAAUGGUAAGGACAAAGGGCAGCUACCGGGCGACCGGAUGCGAAUCUCUAAACCUUAUCUCAGUUCGGAUCGGAGUCUGCAACUCGACUCCGUGAAGCUGGAUUCGCUAGUAAUCGCGCAUCAGC